ensembl:lncRNA
GAAUCAGUCUGGACUUUAAUGAAAUUAAGAUUCUUGGUAUGACUUGAAAACCCUAUCCAUCCAUCCAUCCAUCCAUCCAUUCGCUUCCGCUUAUCCUUUUCAGGGGGCACUGGAGCCUAUCCCAGCUGUCAUAGGGCGAGAGGCAGGGUACACCCUGGACAGGUCGCCAGUCUGUCGCAGGGCCAACACACAGGGACAGACAACCAUUCGCACUCACAUUCAUUCGCAGAUACACACCUAGUGACAAUUUGGAUUAUCCAAUUAACCUAUCCCCACAAGCUGCAUGUCUUUGGACGGUGGGAGGAAGCCGGAGUACCCGGAGGGAACCCACGCAAACACCGGGAGAACAUGCAAACUCCACACAGAAAGACCCCGGCCUGAUGUUGGAAUUCAACUCAGGACCUUCUUGCUGUGCGGCAACAGUGCUAACCACCGUGGUACUUGGUAUGACUUGAAAAACCCUAUAUUGGGCCUUAAUUAAGACUUUUUUCUUUUCUUUUUUUGCCUGUCCUGUUUGGAUCUAAUUAUGAAAAUUCUGAAAUUAUAGUGGACCAAAAUCAACCAGUGAUGUAAACCAGUCAUUACCAGUUACUGUAAAUGCUUGAUGGUAAUUGUUGCUAUCAGGGCUUCCACAGCUGGGUAUUAGAGACCAACAUGUUUUUACAUUAGACCAGGUUGUUCUGGUUCAAAAAUGAAAUCAUCACUUUAAAACUGCUUUUUGUAUUUAUCCAGGUCAUCCUUGUUAGAUGAUUUGAAACAUGUGAAAAAAAGCAUAAACAAAAUAAAUCUGCAAAGAAGAAAGACCUUUCUCAGCACUGUACCUCAGACAAAACCUUUACUUACCAGACUUGCGACGAUCAGAUCAGUAUCCUAGAGAAAGGAAACAACACAUCAGAUCACUGUUUAAUGACUUACACUGUUGAACCUCUUCGCACACAAUCCAAUUUACUGUGACAUGAAAUAACUAGUAAGAUCCUCAAUUUCUUCAAGCCUUUAUGAACUCACUGUAGUCUAAAGAGGACAAACUUUAGUUACAGAGUCUCACAUGACGAUAACAUGUGUAAUAAAGGCAUGCAUACUACAGAAGUGCAAAGAAGAGGCACCAAUAUUUGUUGGUACAGAUUAUGGCUUUUUAGCUCCAUCAUUUUCUA